CCAGAGACCGAUAGCGCACAAGUAGAGUGAUCGAAAGAUGAAAAGCACUUUGAAAAGAGGGUUAAAUAGUACGUGAAAUUGUUGAAAGGGAAGGAUUUAUGACCAGACCUUUGCCUUGCGGAUCAUCCGGUGUUCUCACCGGUGCACUUCGCUUGGUUGAGGCCAGCAUCAGUUUUGGCGGCGGGAUAAAGACUUCAGGAACGUGACUCCCCCGGGAGUGUUAUAGCCUGCUGUGUAAUACCGCCGCUGGGACUGAGGACCGCGCUUCGGCUAGGAUGCUGGCAUAAUGGUCAUCAAUCACCCGUCUUGAAACACGGACCAAGGAGUCGAACAUUUAUGCGAGUUUUUGGGUGUUAAACCCUCAAGCGUAAUGAAAGUGAACGGAGGUGAGAGCCCUUACGGGUGCAUCAUCGACCGAUCCUGAUGUCUUCGGAUGGAUUUGAGUAAGAGCAUAACUGUUCGGACCCGAAAGAUGGUGAACUAUGCGUGGAUAGGGUGAAGCCAGAGGAAACUCUGGUGGAGGCUCGCA
rnacentral:rRNA from 1 species